rnacentral:pre_miRNA from 1 species
UAGCAGCACGUAAAUAUUGGUGUAGUAAAGUAAAUAUUAAACCCCAAUGUUGUUGUGCUGCUUAA